CUGUACAGACCUCCUUGCCACCAUAGUAUCUUAGCCCUGGAGCUAUCUGAGAGACUGCCACCGCCUUCCUUAUGACUGAAGCUCUCAUCCUACAAGCACCACUCUUGUAGGUCCUGUCAUCAGUGGCUAUGUCCACCACUGAUCCAAUAGCUGCUCUCAUUGCUGCCUCUGCGACUCCAUCUAUUGCACCACCAGCUACUCCAUCUAUGACUCCUAACUGUCAUAGCCCCAGCAACUCUUCUCGUCGCUGCUCUAAUGACUCUAAUCACUACUAGUC
rnacentral:lncRNA from 1 species